CGUGUAGGUGGGAUAUCAAGUCAGAUGUGAAAUCCCGGAGCUCAACUUCGGAAUUGCAUUUGAAACUGGUAUUCUUGAGUACGGGAGAGGGAAGCGGAACUCCAGGUGUAGAGGUGAAAUUCGUAGAUAUCUGGAGGAACACCAGGGGCGAAGGCGGCUUCCUGGCCCGGUACUGACACUGAGAUGCGAAAGCGUGGGGAGCAAACAGGAUUAGAUACCCUGGUAGUCC
rnacentral:rRNA from 1 species